rnacentral:rRNA from 1 species
UACGAAGGACCCAAGCGUUAUCCGGAUUCAUUGGGUUUAAAGGGUGCGUAGGCGGAUUGAUAAGUCAGUGGUGAAAGCCCAUCGCUUAACGAUGGAACUGCCAUUGAUACUGUCGAUCUUGAGUACAUUUGAAGUGGGCGGAAUGUGUCAUGUAGCGGUGAAAAUGCUUUAGAUAUGACACAGAACACCGAUUGCGAAGGCAGCUCACUAAACUGUAACUGACGCUGAGGCACGAAAGCGUGGGGAUCAAACAGG